rnacentral:sRNA from 1 species
GCCAGGAGUGGUGGCGCACACCUGUAAUCCCAGCAACUCAGGAGGCUGAGGCAGGAGGAUCACAAGUUCAAAGCCAGCCUCAG